UACAGAGGUCCCAAGCGUUGUUCGGAUUCACUGGGCGUAAAGGGUGUGUAGGAGGUUCGGUAAGUCGGGUGUGAAAUCCCACCGCUUAACGGUGGAAUGGCAUUCGAUACUGCCAAACUGGAGGAUUAGAGGGGCAAGCGGAAUUCAUGGUGUAGCAGUGAAAUGCGUAGAUAUCAUGAGGAACACCGGUGGCGAAAGCGGCUUGCUAGAUAAUUCCUGACUCUGAAACACGAAAGCCAGGGGAGCAAACGGG
rnacentral:rRNA from 1 species